CGCCCCGUUAUGCCCAAUUCUACCUGUGGAAAGUCACGCAAAAUACCAAAAAGAAAGAAAAUUUCCACCCAUGCGUAGUGACAGACUGCCCUUUGCGUUAGACUUGUGCUGUGAAUAUUAAUGCAGCCAAAAGAGGUAAGCCCAAAGUUAUUUAUAGGCCUACUCUGAGUUCAGUUAAUUAAUUACAUGUUGAAUGGGUUUUUUUUAGCUGGGAAUGACACAAGAGAGAAGUUGUGUUAAGGGAUAUGGAAAAAAAAAAACUAAACAGUUAUUUUGUUUUUACAUGUUGAAUUUUCUGACAAUUAUGAAAAAGCAUUCGAAAGCAUCAUGGUAACCUCAAUUAAACAUUACUUUGGCACAUCAUUGUGUAAUUUUCAUGCUAAACAAGACCCAUUUAAUAUAUACACAUUUAUCCCAAAAUUAGGCAAUGAAUAAAUUGGUGCUUUGCUGUGUAUCAUUAACAAUUAGAAGAUAUCUGUUGGGACACAUUGCAAUUGCUUCCGACCAUGCAUCUCUAGUUCUGUUUAACAACCCCAUCUGUGUAUCAUGGCGGUUAGUGUGGUGUCAAACUCUUGUGAUGUUCUUCAUGUUUCUGUUGCUUUAUUUAGCUGCAAAAGAUCAAAUAUUACAAACAGCCGAAUGUCCAGAUGACACAGUGCCAUUUUACAACCACUGCAAACAGACAACCAAUCAAAACUGUGCAUGAUUAUCUUUGUAAAGGAUGGGUUUUUUUUGUAUUGAAUCACAUCAAUUGUCAUGUGUACUUAAUGUUGUGGCCGUUGACGCUGUUAAUCAGGGGGUGGGCAAAGUACAGCCUGCGGGGCCAAGACUGGCCCGUCAAGCAUUUACAUUAGCAAGAGUCCUGUAAUAUUGCUUGCAGGAAUUUUGGCUCUUUUGUGUUGUUGUUGUUGUUGCUAAAAUUAUUUAAUGAAUUUAUUUUUUCGUUGGUAUUUUAUUAAUUAAAUAUUUGGUGAUUUAUUGUGAAUAAUAAAUGUAUAUGUUAAAAUGUACUAAUUGAUGGAACAAAAUUAAUUCAUACAUUUAUUGAUAUUAUUUAAACAUAUAUGCAUAGAAAAAACAUUUUAGCUCUUUUUCUCCCCAACCUCUUCUACAAAUCACCUGCCCCAUGUGUCUGUUUUCAAAGUAAAAUGGGGCCCUUGAACCCCAAAAGUUUGCCCACCCCUGCUGCAAAUCUUGACACAACAACAGAUUCUGAGACGCAUGUGGAUGGUUUGUGUGACAGUGUAGUAGUGACGAUAGUACAAUGUGUGACCUAUAAAAGUAGCAGAUGUAUGUUUGUAGAUCACAGAAAAUGGCAUCCCGAGAGAUCUUUUGUUGUAUUGACUGUGGGUGAGUCAUUCCACUAUCAUGUGCUUCCUUAUCUUUUCACACCAAAAAUAAAAAAUAUGUUCUGUAAGUGGUGAUGAGUAUGUGUGAUGUCAAGAGCAGGACAGCAGGCAAGGAUGCAGUGUGGGUGCGAAACAACAGUGCAGGCUCAGUGUACAGGAAUCACGAGAAUGGCGUCUGUCCGCCCACGAUGCCCACUGUGUCCUCUCUCGUCACGCUAUUUGUCUCCUUUUCCUCACUCAAGUCUGACAACAACCAGACAACAGCCUCCAUGUGCAGGUUGCACUCUCAUCUCAUUUCCCCAACGUAAAAAGCAGCAGGCGAAAGAAGAAUGAGCGUAUUUGACCGCCUGUCACCUUUAAUCCCUCGUCUGUCGGCGUCCUCCAAACAAGCAAAAGAUCAUCCUCAGCUUCCUCAUCCUACCCACCCUUCAUCCGCUCCUUUGUCUGCUCCCCUGAAAAGGAAAGGAGUUGACAUGCCUUCGUAUAGGCUCGAGGGUGUCACCUACGAAAGAAAUCAAAAGAAGCUCUUGGGUGCUGACAGCUCCACAUGUUUUGGCCCUGCUUGUUCAUCAACGUGUCCUCCUUGGAGUAAACACGGCCAGCAUCUGCAGAGGAAUGACGGUGAAAUAACUGUAAAACGUCCUGCAAAGACUUCCGUUACCUUUUCGGCAAAGACGAACACCCCCACUUCUGAGCCCCAAUCCAGGAGGGAUAGGCUUGAUCAGAAAGAGUUGUUGGACUUUUCCAAUCGAGGUAUACAUAGACAAAGUUGGCUCCAGCUGAUUGCGCAAAAUCCUCCAAGACGAUAAAUACAAACAGCAACAAGCGAUUGAAGCAUAUAUAUAAGUGUG